ACCUGGUUGGCUUAGUGGUUGAGCAUCUGUCUUUGGAUCAGAUCAUGAUCCUGGUGUCCUGGGAUCGAGUCCUAAAUCAGGCU
rnacentral:tRNA from 1 species